rnacentral:rRNA from 1 species
UACAGAGGCCUCUAGCGUUAGGCGGAAUUACUGGGCGUAAAGCGUGCGCAGGCGGUGAUGUAAGACAGAUGUGAAAUCCCCGGGCUCAACCUGGGAACUGCAUUUGUGACUGCAUCGCUGGAGUACGGCAGAGGGGGAUGGAAUUCCGCGUGUAGCAGUGAAAUGCGUAGAUAUGCGGAGGAACACCGAUGGCGAAGGCAAUCCCCUGGGCCUGUACUGACGCUCAUGCACGAAAGCGUGGGGAGCAAACAGG